rnacentral:rRNA from 1 species
GACGAACGCUGGCGGCGUGCCUAAUACAUGCAAGUCGAGCGCAGGAAAUCGACGGAACCCUUCGGGGGGAAGUCGACGGAAUGAGCGGCGGACGGGUGAGUAACACGUAAAGAACCUGCCCUCAGGUCUGGGAUAACCACGAGAAAUCGGGGCUAAUACCGGAUGGGUCAUCGGACCGCAUGGUCCGAGGAUGAAAGGCGCUUCGGCGUCGCCUGGGGAUGGCUUUGCGGUGCAUUAGCUAGUUGGUGGGGUAAUGGCCCACCAAGGCGACGGUGGAUAGCCGACCUGAGAGGGUGAUCGGCCACACUGGGACUGAGACACGGCCCAGACUCCUACGGGAGGCAGCAGUAGGGAAUCUUCCACAAUGGACGAAAGUCUGAUGGAGCAACGCCGCGUGAACGAUGAAGGCCUUCGGGUCGUAAAGUUCUGUUGUAAGGGAAGAACAAGUGCCGCAGGCAAUGGCGGCACCUUGACGGUACCUUGCGAGAAAGCCACGGCUAACUACGUGCCAGCAGCCGCGGUAA